CCUGACACCAGUUGACGAAGCACCUACCGUGGCCAAAGCACGGGGGCCGCGUCCUGGAGCUGGUCGGGGUGGGACAUGGAUGCACGAGGCGGGUGCGCCUGAGCCGCGUCUGCGCAGGGCAGCCUGCGGCGCCGCCCCCAGGAGCCCCGCGCCGCUCCCCACCGUGCAGCUGUCAGGAGGCUGGGGUCACAGAGGAGCCAGCUUACAAAAGCACAGCUGGGCUCCUGGGAGUCCCCUCUGCCCUGGCAUCUGCCAGCCUCCCUUUCUGCUCCAUCUCCCUUCUCAUCUCAGAGUGGGUGUCUCUGCUGUGCAGGUGGCACGGCAGGAAACCAGAUUGUCCCACAGAUCUUGAGUUCGCUGGUCCCUGACUCUUGGCUCUCUUCCUCCCCCUGUUCCAAAUUCCUCAGGAAGAGAUGUUCACUGGCAUGGGUGGGCAAGAGGCUUACUCGGGGUACCAUCAGCCGUGGCCAGGGGCUCAGAGUCACAUGGGUGCAUGGGGCUAAGGGGAGCCCCCCGCGGGGUCCCAGGCCGGACAGUUCGUUCUAGUGGAAAGUGCUCAACAAUAAGGCACAAGUCACAGGCAGCUUCUCCUUUGACAGCCUCUACCUUGGUCAGGAGAUGGAGCUGGGGAGGAGAGCAGCUGGGGAGUAUCUGAGGGCUGCACCCCGGGGCUCCUGACUCCCAGCCCCGUGCUCUUUCCACUCCACCCCAUGCCUUUGCCAGUCGUUGUGAAAUAGACGAUGGCUGUGCAGCUUCCCCUGGGAGCCAGAGUUGUGUUGAUUAAAGAGUUCUGCUGGCGGCCUCGGAGGGAGCCAGGAGCCAAAACCAGUGGUGCAGCUGUGGGUGUUUGCUGAACUCACUGCUGUGCCUACCUCCAAGGCAGGGCCAAUUCUGCUGCCCACAAGAGACAAUAAGCAACUGACCACCUCCACAAAACCAAGAACCAUAUUCUGCUCGCCUUUGCUUCUUCAGCAGCUGGUGCCUAACGUGGGCUAGAAGCUCACUAGAUCCUUCAUGGAUGACCGCCUCGAUGACUUUUAAAGCAGGUCAAGUUGAGACCAGCUUCCCAACAAGAGAAGGUAAAGUGUAUUAUAUAAUCCUGAUGACCUCAGACCCGUGCUGCCUGCAUUCCCCUGUGUAAAGGCCUUUUUCUGACACCAGAGCGGCAGGAGGGAGUGUGUGAUCCCAGCGCGGUACCUGCUGACAUGAGGAUUUCAUGAGGAAGGGUAGUGAAGGCUUGAAUCAGAGCAAAUCCUGCCCUCACACACCGCGCCUUUCUUUCCCCUGAAUCCGUGUGCAGGUCUUCACUGAUCUCAGGAGUCUUGGAUCUUGCAGUGGCUGCUACAACGACACAAAUAUCAUGGUGCGCUGAGGCCAUGAGGAGUUCUGAGCUGGUGAGGAUCCCAAGUGCACUGUGUGGAUAUUUUUCUCUGCUUUCUUGGAUGCAAGAUUCUAGGCCUGGUGGAUCAUCAAGUUAACCACAAAGAUCAACAGCAGCUGUCUUUGGAGUUGUCUUUGGCUAUGCCUUGGUGGGGUUCUGUGUGAGAGAACACCAACGACACUGGCCAGGGAUGCUGCCGAGCUGCUCCGUGUGGCCAAUGGGAAGUGGGAUGUGGGGGCCUCACUAAAAGAUGGUUGGCAGGAGCCCUCUGCCUUUCACUCUCCGACCCUGCCUCUUUCUUGCUCCAGCUGUCAGCCCUUCCUUAGCAAAGGAGAAGGAAGGCUGGGGGCUGCACCCGGGGGAUGGAAGCUUGGUGGCUGUGAGGAUCUGGGUGUUUCAGGAAGCAGCCCUUGGGUUCCAACUCCAGAAUACUUGGGUGGAAGAACCUUCCCUUUUGUCUAGGCCAUUGUUAUUUUAGGUCUCUGAUACUCUCUGCUGAACUUAAUUCCAAUGAAUGCCCUUGGGAAUACUGAAUUAUUGGCAUAUCACAAGCUUUCACCAAGUUUAUUUGGAAAGGUGCUGACCUUUGCCAUAAGCGACUGGGAAUUAUCUGGAAUGUGAUACAGACAUGAAAUCGGCAGAUGGGGCAGUGACUAGGACCUAUCUUUGGGGAGCACUUGACAGCUGAUGGAUCCCAGUGACUUAAUGGAUUUAUUUUUCUUUCUGAAGACUCAGGCAUUGGAUAAUUUAUGGCCUAUGGGGACUGUUGUCCACGCAGAACUGUUUGGGACGCCUCCAGUGCUCUUCUCGGGAUUUCUGAGGCCGAGUAGAGCCUCUGUGUCAGGGUGACCUUCAAGGCCUCUGCCUUACGCGCUUCCUGUGGCCACAGCUCUCCUCUCUCCUUCCUCCCUUCUAGCGAGGACCCUGGCUCUUCUUUGCCUGAGAGUUUGGGGGUAGCUGGGUAGUUGCCAAAGAGCCAUCUGUCCUGCCCGGGUCAUGCUUAAUGAUGCAGAGAAACAGUGAUGUCAUGAAGUGACAAUUUAAAGAAAAUUUGAUUUUCAAUUUCUUGGCUUUCUUUCUUUCUUUCUUUUUAACAAUUUUUAAGUUUUUGUCAACAUAUAUAACACAAAAUUUGCCAUUUUAACAUGUACAGUUUGGCGGCAUUAAAUGCACUUGCAACAUUGUACAACCAUUCCAAUGUUUUGAUAUUUGAUUUCCUGGGUCAAAUUCUUAAGCACAGUCCUCUUGCCUCACCGGAAGCUAUUUUAUCCUCAGUGGGAUCAUAAUUAAGUUCAUUCUUAAAUAACAGGAAUUCAGGAACUUGAGCUCCCUUCUUCUCCCUGCUUCCAAAAAUUCUUCUAAUUUUUUAGAAGGCCAAGCUAGCAUUUGAAACUGGAUUUCCUAUUAUAAGGCAAGAGAUGGAGGGGGUUGGGGGCGGAGGGCCUGAGGGGCUCAGAUGGGCUAGGUGUGCGAGGCUGUUUGAGGCUGCGAUUCCUAUCUGUACAAGUUCAACCACAGAGGCUUCCAAAAGUGGUGUCAUGAUCAGGCCGAGACCGGUGUUUGGAGAGGAGCAAAGACACACAGCAGGGAGCCGCUAG